rnacentral:rRNA from 1 species
CCUACGGGCGGCAGCAGUGAGGAAUAUUGGUCAAUGGACGAGAGUCUGAACCAGCCAAGUAGCGUGAAGGAUGACUGCCCUAUGGGUUGUAAACUUCUUUUAUAUGGGAAUAAAACGUUCCACGUGUGGGAUUUUGUAUGUACCAUAUGAAUAAGGAUCGGCUAACUCCGUGCCAGCAGCCGCGGUAAUACGGAGGAUCCGAGCGUUAUCCGGAUUUAUUGGGUUUAAAGGGGGCGUAGGUGGAUUGUUAAGUCAGUUGUGAAAGUUUGCGGCUCAACCGUAAAAUUGCAGUUGAAACUGGCAGUCUUGAGUACAGUAGAGGUGGGCGGAAUUCGUGGUGUAGCGGUGAAAUGCUUAGAUAUCACGAAGAACUCCGAUUGCGAAGGCAGUUCACUGGACUGCAACUGACACUGAGGCUCGAAAGUGUGGGUAUCAAACAGGAUUAGAUACCCCUGUAGUC